GAUGAAGAACGUAGCGAAAUGCGAUAAGUAAUGUGAAUUGCAGAAUUCAGUGAAUCAUCGAAUCUUUGAACGCACAUUGCGCCCGCCAGUAUUCUGGCGGGCAUGCCUGUUCGAGCGUCAUUACAACCCUCAGGCCCCCGGGCCUGGCGUUGGGGAUCGGCGGAAGCCCCCUGCGGGCACAACGCCGUCCCCCAAAUACAGUGGCGGUCCCGCCGCAGCUUCCAUUGCGUAGUAGCUAACACCUCGCAACUGGAGUGCGGCGCGGCCACGCCGUAAAACACCCAACUUCUGAAUGUUGACCUCGAAUCAGGUAGGAAUACCCGCUGAACUUAAGCAUAUCAAUAAGCGGAGGA
rnacentral:misc_RNA from 1 species